rnacentral:rRNA from 1 species
UACGAAGGGUGCAAGCGUUACUCGGAAUUACUGGGCGUAAAGCGUGCGUAGGUGGUGAGUUAAGUCUGUCGUGAAAGCCCCGGGGCUCAACCCUGGGGAAUGGCGAUGGAUACUGGCUCGCUAGAGUGCGGUAGAGGAGAGUGGAAUUCCCGGUGUAGCAGUGAAAUGCGUAGAGAUCGGGAGGAACACCAAUGGCGAAGGCAGCUCGCUGGGACGUUACUGACGCUGAGACGCGAAAGCGUGGGGGAGCAAACAGG